CCCCGGCCGGGGGGGAGGGGGGCGGCGCCGCGGCGGGGGGCGCUGGGCGGGUCCGCACCGCCCCGGGGGGCGCCGGGGGGGCGGGCAGGUCUGGGCGGCCCGGGGGGGCGGCGCGGGGGAGCGACGCGCCCCGCGAAGCGCGACGAGGCCGGGUGGGAGCCGAGGUCACAGGCGGCGGGGCCGAGCCGCGCAGCCCCGGCGGCGGCGUGCCGCGAGCUGGCGCGGGCGGAGGCGGCGAGGGCACAUCAGCGAGUCGACCGAGGCCUGGUCCCGCACGGCGUUGGCACCAUCCCGCGACGACGACGGAGCAUCUUGCAGUGCGCCCACUGCGCGUGGAGGCCGCCGGACAUGCCGGAGGCCUCGGGGUCUGGUUGCGCCGCUCGGCUGGGGGCUGCGAACCUCUGCCGUGCCCCAGGGACGCGGGACUGCAGCGUUCGUUGUUUGUGGGGCACUGUCUUCAAACGGUGCUUUAAAACCUAAAAAUAUAUGAAAUGAUGACUUAGCAGCUCCGGUUACUUUGCAGAGGCACCUGACGUUUCUGUGCAGAGCCGUCCAUUAUACUGUUCGUGCAAAACAGAAUGCUACCUUCCUUUUUUUUCCUCUAGCAUAUAUAAAAGCACAGACUGCAUCAGACACUGGAGAGCUGCAUGGAGAUUUUACUUUGCAAAUGGAACAGCAUGCUAACAGCAUGCUAGCAGCAUAAAGGAUGAAAGUCUUUGAAGAGCUCUUUUGAGGAUAGAAAUCAGCCCAUGAACUCCUUCAGGCUGCAGUCUUAUUCAUUGUUAUUUCCGAGAUUUUUUUCACACACUCACCAAGAUAAAUUCCAAUUUAAAAACAGUCCCAGUGAGCUGGUAUGUAUUAUAUAGGUAUGUAGCACAGCUACAGUUAGUGUACUUUUAUACCUCAACAUUAUACAAAAAUGCUACAGAACAAAUACCUAUACAUCGGAGGUUAAAUUUUGUCCCUGAUAAACAGGGAAAUAUGCCACAAAGCCAGUUAGCACCCUCAGCUAAACUUUGCUUUUAACUUGUGCGUGCAAUAAAUGGUUUCUGUGGAUCGCAGAUGAGGUAAGCUUUUGGGGCACUGCUGCUUAUAUAAUGCCUUGCCUGUGAGCAGAAGAUUUUCAUCUCUAGCUCUGCCAAGCUAGCACGUAAAUAACAAAAGAAUAAAUUAUAGCAGUGUUGUAAGGAAAAUUAUUGAUACCACUGUAUUACCUAGAGCAAUGCCAUAUUUUACAUACAACUGAGAGUGGUUUCUAAGAAGACAUAGCUUUAGAACAGAAAAUAUUUGUUGUCCUUUCUAUCGGUAUAUUUGGGUGUUACUAUCUUACAUAUACACUGGCCUUUUGAUCUUAAAGCAUAAAAGAAAUCUGAUAUGGCUGAAUGUAUGUACUGCUAGUGAUUACUGGUGCCCUAGUGCAAGUAAUUCAGUUAAUUGUCAUUAAUCUGAAUAUGCCAACUCAAAUAACAGUCCUUGAAAAUUAUCCAAAUUUCUCCUGAGGCUUUUCUUGUGUCUUUAAAAAACCUUACUCUCGCCCCUUUGCCUCUGGGAUCUAUAUGCAUGUCUUAGUUAAAGGUUAUUUUUUCCCCAUAUACUUACCAUUUUUUUGUUUUGAGAAAAAAAAAUUAUCAGACAUCUAUGGUAAUAAUGAAAGGAGACUUACCAAAAAUAUUAAGUAGGUAUGAACCAGACCUUAGACUGCAUCUUUAAAACUUCUGAGAAUUUAGUGCAGGAAAACAGUGGUUCAACAUUUAUUGUUUAUACUUAAUGUAAUUACAUUAAACAGUGGCUAAUACUAGAUCCCAGCUUACCACUGACUUCUGUCAUACUUAGCUGAAAAACCUCAUGAGUAUGCUGCAGGUAUGGUCUCUAGUGAGAUACAUCAAUCUAAACGCUUUAUUUUUCCUAGUGCAAUAAUACUUGCAUAUAGAAGGGGAAGUAGCAUUUAAAUUUAAAAAGUGUUUUAAGAAAGUAUUGCAGUAGUCUUUUAUAUUUGUCAGAGGGUUGGGCUGCUGUUGUGUUUUAAGUAUUUAAAAAGUAUUUCCAUUACUCAAUUUCAUGACAAAAUUCCAGAAUUAUUAGUCCCAGAUUUCAGAGGACUCACCACAGGCACACUGGAAAGAAGGGAGGAGGUCUGAUAAUUUUUGUUAUGGAACCUUGAAAUAAGAAUAGCUGCAGACAGAAGAGAUGAAAUAAGAUUGAGGGAGAAGACUAGAGGUGAUGCUGUCUCUUACUCUGCAUAUACAUCUCUGAUUGACUGUACAUAUAAAUGAUUGUUUGCAUAGAGCAAGACAAAAUCUGCUAGUAACGUCUACUGAGCAGACAGUAAUUGUUUAACUAACUUUCAGGGUCACUUUAUUUCAUGCUAACAUCAGUUUCUAAAGCUAGCUGUGGCCAGGGGCACAUGAACAGAGAGGCAAUUUUUGAGACCGGAACAAAUCAUACUAUGGCAGCUGUGCAUAAAUAAAUAGAUUUAUGUUGCGAAGUGUGAGAAACAAACACUGAAAAACAAGCAAUUGAAAUCAUGGCAACAUAUAGCCAUGAUUUAUCCAGGGGUAAAUUUACCACUGUUGGACCAGGAUUAAAGCACUUUUAUGGACUGAGUAUCCACAGCUUUUUAAAAUUCAGAUAGAUGGACUUGUCAUGGGCUAACUCAUGGUGGGUCCAUGGCAAGGUAAUUAUUACCAUGCAGACAAUAUAAAAUAUCAUGAGAGUUAAUGUUCUGGGUGAGGAUGUAGCCUUGGCAUGAAUACUGGGGGAGAUUAUUCAGUCACAAGUAUAUAUCACAGCCAAAAGUGUGUGUGCCAAAACAAGCAAUGGGAUGCUGGAUGGACAGCAGCUUACUUUGCUCCACCCAGUAAAUUCCAUCUUUCUUUCAGAAUGGAUGAAAAAGAAUGAAAUUACAACACUGGUAAGAAAGACAGGUGAAAGAAAUGAAGUGGUUCUAUUUAACAUUUACUUAGUACUUUAGAUUUAUUAAGCAGUAUUUAAAUAUUAACUAAAUAAGCUUCACAACAGCACUAUAAAGAAGAUAAGGUGCUUUCCCCAUUUCUACCCUGUUUCACAGUAUUUGGACAACUAUUCUUUUCUCUAAGGCUGUAAGUAAAGAUAGCCAGUUGUAGAUACACAACUAAUUGGAUAAUGUGCCAAACUCAUUGAAGCACCUUUAUUAAACUCAACAAGACUUGGUUAACUUAUUUUCCUUAUUCCUCUUCAUUCCAGAAUUUACUAGUCCCAGUUCUACAAAUCUUAGUAAAGGGCAAUAGUCAUUAGGAAUCAUGUCACAAAGUCAAGGUCUCAGACUAUCCCCCUUUUUCAGAGUGAGGGAGGCAGGGUCCCACCAUCAUGAAAUGUUUGAGGAUGGUGGCCAGACUGCACUUUCUUGAAAAGAGAUCAAGCAGUUCAGACAUUUGCCUUCACUCUGUGUGAACAAAAGAAACCUCCUUUAAAGCCUGAGGUCUUGAAAGACAGAUAUCUCUCCAUUUAUCAGGCAGAUUUGCUCCAUCUUCUUUAAACAGAUCCUUAGAAAUGCAUUUAAUCCUUAAAAUGGGAACUCAUUCCCCUUCUUGUGAAGUAUUUGCUCAUUUUCUGGUUCACUUCCUCCUGUCCCUGACUGGUCUUCGCCAGCCAGAAGAUUCCUUCUUGAAGCACCUCUAGCUAGAGUAAGAAAACAGCAGGAGAAAGUGCUGAAAUCUGGCAGAUGUCCUUUAGCUUAAUGAUUAGAUUUUGCUUUGUGGAGGUCAUUGUCCCUCAGGUGAACAAUGAUCACCUACGGAGAAUGACAACAAGCCCUUAAAUCAAUUUGGAGUAUGUGGGGGAAUGUGACUCCAUAGCAUGCCACCAAAACUAAUUCUUUUCUGGCUCUCAGGCAGAAAGCUGACAAGGCAUGUGGGCCUACCUGAGAUUCCCCCAUGCAUGACAUGCUUUUGUCUGUGUCCAGUGAAGCCAGAUUUCCAGAAGCUGAAUCUUUUCAUUUGAUCCUGCAACAGAGCAGAUAACAAGAUACAAGACUAAAAUUUUACCUUGAUAUAUGGUUCUUCUGAAAUGAUUGAACAUAGUAUUGCUAGAGCCAACUAAGCUGUUUCUCAUCUAUUUUCAUUUGUGGCAAGUGUAGCCAUUGCUAUUAUGUAUGAAUGCAUCAAAGUCCCCAAAAUACAAAGAAGUUUAACUUGAUUCUCUAUUCCAUUUUAACGCUAAUGUUAACUUUACCCUGCUUAUAAAUUGCCUGUUUCCUUGGGGAAAUGCUAGACCUAAAUAUUGACUAAACUGCAGCUAAUGCUUUUAAUGCCUGCUCUAGACAAAGACACAGAAUGGUUUUUCAACCACAAACAAGCCAGUCUUCUUUUAAAAUGACAUGAAAUCAAGAUACCUAUCCAUUGCUCCCAAAUUUCAGUACUUUCCCCUCUGAUUUUUCUCAUCCUUUUGGUAAUGCUUCCAAGAAAUAUUUGGUGAUCAUUUCCUCUCCUGUAAGAUUCUGCUACCAACCUACCUUAUAUUUGGUGAUCAUUUCCUCUCCUGUAAGAUUCUGCUACCAACCUACCUUAUAGUUUAUAAAUUAAAACAUUAUAUCUCUAGUUCUAAAAUGUAAAUUCACUCAUUGGCAGGUGAAAGAUUUGCUGUAUUGUUUGAGAAUAUUCAUAUGGCAAUGAAGACCUAGAACAUUUAUCGAAACUUAGUCAGCAUUCAUAGUACCACAUGACUUCAAUCCCUGUUGAAUUUCUUCUGGCAUGUGGUGCAAAUUCCUAAAAGUGAGUGAAAAAUGUUAAUGUAGGAAUGUUUCAGCAGUGCUUUUAAACAUAAAUAUUUUGUAUAUUCAGGGCAGACACAUUACUGUAGCUGGUUGUACUAAAUUCCUUGGUGUUUGUGGCAAAAUGAUAUUUGCUUGCAUUCUGACAAAAACAUGUCUUGGAUAAAAAGAAAAAGUAAAGUAUGGUAUGGCUGAAGCUUCUCUGUGUCCAAGCAAUUUACAGCUGUAGUAAGAAUCUCUAGGUAAGAGGUCUCUUGGGAAGUAGUCUUACCACUAAAUAUGGCAACAGCACCCCAGCAUCUAUGUUUAACAGAAAGUUGUGCCAUGGUCCGCUAAUUUAAGAAUUUUUGAUAUAGAUACUAACCUCAAGAGCGGAUUCCCAUCUCUGCAUCCUAAGUGUCGAGAUACAUUAGUCUUCAGCACUGACUCGGGUAUAUAGGUCUUGGAGAACUGAAAGGUUCAAGAUGCCUGUCUGUCUUUCCUCCUUUCCCAGUAGUCCGUGUUAACCUGUGUUAGAGGUUAAAUUUAGCAGAUUCCAUACUCAAGCAUGUAGAUGUUUUAAGUCAGCAUUUCACUAAAGAUUUUUAGGACACCUAACUGUUUCCCCACAUUGUAUAUGGAGCCCAGGAGACUAAUGCUAAUCUUGAGUUUUGAAUUCCACUAAGUGAAGUGCUGCACUUAACCACAUAAGUCCUUUGCUGGAUCUGGUCCUAAAACCAAAAUAGUGCAUUUGUAUGCUUUCUUUUCAGCUAGCCUUCCCUUCCUUGAACUUUCCUUCAUACCACCGGUACAGUGAUAGUUUUAGGAAAGGAAAUAUUAGUUCUAUUAAACCACAGUUUCUAAUAGUGGACCUGUUGUUUGGGAUGGCAGAGUGACAAAACACUCACACAGUCAGUCUCUUUGUGAACUGUAGAUCAUAAAAUAAGUAGCUACAUUUCCAUUAAAAUAUUAACAGCAGGGGUGGGGUUACAUAAUUUAAACAAGCUACCAUUAAAUCCUUCAUUUUAACCAUAGGGGAGACAGCAGUGGGAAAUACGGUGUAGAGGGAUAGAUACUAUUCAUAACUAUAAAUUAGUGUGACUAUUAGUAUGGCUUGUAUAUGAGAAAUAAAAGAGAAGUGUUGCCCGUAG